UACGUAGGGUGCGAGCGUUGUCCGGAUUUAUUGGGCGUAAAGAGCUCGUAGGCGGUUUGUCGCGUCGGCCGUGAAAUCUCCACGCUUAACGUGGAGCGUGCGGUCGAUACGGGCAGACUUGAGUUCGGUAGGGGAGACUGGAAUUCCUGGUGUAGCGGUGAAAUGCGCAGAUAUCAGGAGGAACACCGGUGGCGAAGGCGGGUCUCUGGGCAGUAACUGACGCCGAGGAGCGAAAGCGUGGGGAGCGAACAGG
rnacentral:rRNA from 1 species